UCCCUGGUGGUCCAGUGGUUAGGACUCUGCACUCCCAGUGCAGUGGGCAAGGUUCAAUCCCUUGUUAGGGAA
rnacentral:tRNA from 1 species